AAAGUACCAACGCAGACAUCCUAGGUGACCUUGAGUGGAUUAACUAACUACACUGGCAUCUUUGGGGAAAGCCCAGGAGGGCACCAGGAAGAGUGUCAUGAAAGCACCAGAAAGAGGUCCAACUGCCCACCAGGCAACAGCGCCACACCCAGUGACCAUAUAGUCAUCCCUAAGCAGCUUCCAGCCAGGUCAGCUG
rnacentral:lncRNA from 1 species